rnacentral:misc_RNA from 1 species
AAGUGCAAUUUUGUUACUCCAUAAAAUAUAAAGAUAUUUCAGUUUCCCAGUUCUCAGCCGUUCCUUCCCACUAAUUUCGAUUACCAUAAUACCCUCGAACUAAAAUACUAAAUACAAAAACACCAUCCCACUUUCAUACAAGAAAAUCUACGUACACACCGCUCACUAUGCCGUAUACAAUAAGGGAAUUUUACUUUUUUUUUU